UACAUAAAAUUUUAAUCAUACACAUUCAAUUUUACUUAUAUUUUAACUAUCUAUUUCAUCAUAAUAAACUAUUUUGUUAUUUAUAACAUAAAAACUACAUUCGGACACUCUGUGGAAACGACAUCCCGUUUGUAUCCUCUAACAAUGUCGGACUUACAACUGUUGGACAAACAUCAAAUAAAUAUAAACCGAGCAGUAAUUAAAACGCAUAGUUUGCUAAUCCAUUUACUAUGCGAUUAGCUUUACUAUACACAUGAGUAACUCGGACUAUGCAGUCCCUAUACACUCCAUCUUAUUAAUGAUAUUUGAAUUUUAAAUAGUAACGUAACUCUCAUACUUUUUCAGUAUGUAAUUUAGUAUUUCUUUAAACCAAAUUUUAAUCUUACAAAUUCGAUUUUGCAAUACAAUUUAAAUACCUAUUUUACCAUAAUAAAAU
rnacentral:sRNA from 1 species